AUGGUGGUGGAGGGACACGAAACCGACAAGAGCAUCGAGAUAUGGAAGGUGAAGAAGCUGAUCAAGGGGCUGGACGCGGCGAGGGGCAACGGAACGAGCAUGAUCUCGCUCAUCAUGCCGCCGCGCGACCAGGUGUCCCGGGUGGCCAAGAUGCUGGGCGACGAGUACGGGACCGCCUCCAACAUCAAGAGCCGGGUGAACCGCCAGUCCGUGCUGGCCGCCAUAACCUCCGCCCAGCAGAGGCUCAAGCUCUACAGCCGGGUGCCCCCCAACGGGCUCGUGCUCUACACCGGCACCGUCGUCACCGACGACGGCAAGGAGAAGAAGGUCACCUUCGACUUCGAGCCCUUCCGUCCCAUCAACGCGUCGCUCUACCUCUGCGACAACAAGUUCCACACCGAGGCACUGAGCGAGCUCCUCGAGUCCGACGACAGGUUCGGCUUCAUCGUCAUGGACGGCAACGGGACGCUCUACGGCACGCUGAGCGGCAGCAGCAGGGAGGUGGUGUACAAGUUCAGCGUGGACCUGCCCAAGAAGCACGGGCGGGGAGGGCAGUCCGCGCUCCGCUUCGCCCGCCUGCGCAUGGAGAAGCGGCACAACUACCUGCGCAAGGCGGCCGAGCUCGCCACGCACUUCUUCAUCAACCCUGCCACCAACCAGCCCAACGUCGUCGGGCUCAUCCUGGCCGGCUCCGCCGAUUUCAAGACCGAGCUGGGCAAGUCCGAGAUGUUCGACCAGCGGCUGCAGGCCAAGAUAAUCAAGUCGGUCGACGUGUCGUACGGCGGGGAGAGCGGCUUCAACCAGGCCAUUGAGAUGUCUGUGGAGGUCCUGUCCGAGGUCAAGUUCGUCCAGGAGAAGAAGCUCCUUGGGAAGUACUUCGAGGAGAUCAGCCAGGACACCGGGAAGUACGUCCUCGGCGUGCAGGACACCAUGGCGGCCCUCGAGAUGGGCGCGGUCCACACGCUGAUCGUGUGGGAGAACCUCGACGUCAGGCGGUACGAGCUGAAGAACUCCGCCACGGGAGAGACGGUGGUGAAGUACCUCAACGGCGGCCAGGAGGCGGACCAGAGCAACUUCGUCGACGAGGCGACGUGCGGGGAGCUGGAUGUUGUUGACAGGGUGCUGCUGCUGGAGUGGUUCGCCGAGAACUACCAGCAGUACGGCUGCAAGCUGGAGUUCGUCACCAACAGGUCCCAGGAAGGGUCGCAGUUCUGCCGGGGCUUCGGCGGCAUCGGCGGGAUCCUCCGCUACCCGGCGGACGUCGCCGCCUAUGACGACGACGACGACGACAUGCUGGAUGACGACGUCUAUGAAGACCUCGAAUAG
rnacentral:rRNA from 1 species